GCGGGGAUAGCUCAGUUGGGAGAGCAUCAGACUGAAGAUCCGAAGGUCGCGUGUUCGAUCCACGCUCACCGCA
rnacentral:tRNA from 1 species